rnacentral:lncRNA from 1 species
ACUACCCGUGCAGACACAGCAGGAGCUGUCUCCCCCCACGCACACAUAGACCUCCAUGGAGACGUGGCUGACUGGUACACUCAUCAAAGUUGAGUCCACAGCGGUCUCCAGGGAAUCCAGGUGAACGCAAUUUCUUUAAAAGAGAACCUUGAGAUGAAAAGAUCAUCCCGGAUUAUCUACUUUGGCCCGAUGAAAUCACAAGGCUUUUCUGAGUGUCGGGCAUGUAGAGGAAAAGCACGUCCCUGCUCCCUAACAAGGACCACUGGGCUGGAUGUGUGCAGCAUGGCAGUGCUGGCAGAUCUCAACGCAGAACCCCAAUCUUUCAAGGCCAGAGGGUGCUGUAUCCUGGCCUAUUAUGAUGCUGACUGAACUCCACAAGUAUGCUUUCUCAGAGACUCGGGAUUUCUCCGGCUUUCCCUAAAACCCCUCCUGGUGUCCUCAUGCCCGCUCAACUCCAUGUGCCCCACAUCUGUCAAGACUCGGUUUCUCUGCUUCGGAGUAUUUCUUUUAAAUUCUAAUUAAAUUGUCUUGGAGUUUCUA